rnacentral:tRNA from 1 species
GAGGGUAUAGCUCAAGUGGUAGAGUACAUGCUUAGCAUACAUGAGGUCCUGGGUUCAAUGCCCAGAACCUCCU